GUUAGUGUAGGGUGAAGGAGUUAGUGUAGGGUGAAGGAGUUAGUGUAGGGUGAAAGAGUUAGUGUAGGGUGAAGGAGUUAGUGUAGGGUGAAAGUGUUAGUGUAGGGUGAAGGAGUUAGUGUAGGGUGAAGGAGUUAGUGUAGGGUGAAGGAGUUAGUGUAGGGUGAAAGUGUUAGUGUAGGGUGAAGGAGUUAGUGUAGGGUGAAGGAGUUAGUGUAGGGUGAAGGAGUUAGUGUAGAGUGAAGGAGUUAGUGUAGGGUGAAGGAGUUAGUGUAGGGUGAAGGAGUUAGUGUAGGGUGAAGGAGUUAGUGUAGGGUGAAAGUGUUAGUGUAGAGUGAAGGAGUUAGUGU
ensembl:lncRNA